rnacentral:rRNA from 1 species
UACGUAGGGGGCUAGCGUUGUCCGGAAUCAUUGGGCGUAAAGCGCGCGUAGGCGGCCAGGUAGGUCUGCUGUGAAAACUCGAGGCUCAACCUCGAGACGUCGGCGGAAACCAUCUGGCUAGAGUCCGGAAGAGGAGAGUGGAAUUCCUGGUGUAGCGGUGAAAUGCGCAGAUAUCAGGAAGAACACCCGUGGCGAAGGCGGCUCUCUGGGACGGUACUGACGCUGAGACGCGAAAGCGUGGGGAGCGAACAGG